GAUGAACGCUGGCGGCGUGCCUAACACAUGCAAGUCGAACGGAUGCCUUCGGGCAUUAGUGGCGCACGGGUGAGUAACACGUGGUUGAUCUACCCCAAAGUAGGGGAUAACGUUCCGAAAGGAAUGCUAAUACCCUAUAAGCUCCCGGUGCUUAGAAGACUGGGAGAAAAGUUCCGGCGCUUUGGGAGGAGACUGCGAACCAUCAGCUAGUUGGUGCGGUAAAGGCGUACCAAGGCGACGACGGUUAGGGGACCUGAGAGGGUGGCCCCCCACACUGGAACUGAGACACGGUCCAGACUCCUACGGGAGGCAGCAGUGAGGAAUAUUGCACAAUGGGCGCAAGACCUGAUGCAGCGACGCCGCGUGGGUGAU
rnacentral:rRNA from 1 species